UGAUCCAGUCAUAAAGGACAGUCAAAUGUGCUUACACGUAUUCAAGAAAUCACUUAUCUAAGUUAUAAACAAUAAGUAGUUCAUUUGUAUCUUUUUUUUAAGAUUCUACAUAUAAGGGAGAUCAUAUGGCAUUUUUCUUUCCUUAGAAAGUUCUUUUUUUUUAUUUAUCAUACUUUUAUUUUUUUCUUGAGUUUUUAAUAGUCAUCAAAAAUACGUUAACAGUUCUGUUUCACUUUAGCCUGGGGAUCAUUUACACACAAGACAGAAGCGUUCAGAUCCAAACAAGAAAGUUCUUUUGAAGGAAGAAUCUGAAACUGCUGCAUGUGAGAAGCUGGUUCCUGCGCACAAGCCCUCUUCAGGGAAGCUGAGCCAUCUCAGCUUUUCCUCAGGCUUUUGUACAUCUGGGAUCUUUCCUUAAGUCCUGGGCUGUCCUCUGCUUCAGCCACCAGCACCAGGACAAGAAUCGGGUCUGAGGCUCCAACUCCAGAGUGGUGGGCGUGGAGGUAGGGUGAGUGCCCAUGGCUGACGGUGGUGCUCUGAGGACCAGCUCAAAGCCCUGGUAAGCUGCAGGCUGACUCUGAGAGUCUGGCUGGGGGCAGUGCUCAGGCACUGGCUGCAAGAGCUCUGGCCACAUCUGAGAGGAUCUGACCUACUGCCACACAUCCCAGAAUCCUGGAAGUGGGGAGGAGGAACAAGGGAGGGUGUGCACAGCACGGACCAGGCUCUGGGCGAGAUGAUUUGCAUAUGAGGUUUCAGUUAAUACAACAAUUUGCGUAUGGUAAUGUCCCCCCCCAAAAAAGAGAAAAGACCCCAGUCUUUCUCUUACCUGAAAGACAAGAUUACAGACAGGAGACAGAGAGUGUUGUGCAUCGAAAGGUUUUAGAAGAUUUCUUUAGGAAAAGAAAAGUGCACUCCAAGAACGGGAGGCGGGGUGACCCAAGGGGGCAGCUAGUGGUCUCUGAUCCCUUCUCUUGCACCCUCGCUUAGAAGUGAUCUUUUGAUUGAUUGACGGCCCUUGCCCCAGGAGUGCUUGGUCAUGUUUGGCCCUUUUGUGCAUGUCCUUACCAUGGCGUGCACAGAAAGGCCCAUGGGGGCAGUGCCCGAACCCCAGUGUUAAUCACAUGACAGAGAGCACCGCGCCCCGUCCGGCCAGGCCCUUCCAGCUGCCACGCGGCUGUGGCUGUUGGAAUUUAACCUUUUUUUGUGUGUGGGUUUUUGUUUGCUGUUUGUUGGUUGGUUGGUUUGUGUGUUUUUGCUGGUACUCGUUUAGAAGAAGUAAAGCCCCUUUAUGCAGGAGGCGGGCAUAACACCAUCUUCUGGACCCUUCUCCCUCUCCUCCGCCCGUCUGCCCGGUGCCCCCACUUGUCUAACUGCCUAACAGUAAGACAGCAUUAUACCCCUGCCCAGAGAGGUCAGGAGACUUCUGGUAGAAGCUACUAGUGGUUCCCAGUAACUUUAUCAUAGUUUUAGCUGGAAAUCUGACUGCCUAGCAAGAAGACUACAUUUCCCAGCCUCCUGUGUAGUUAGGUGUGGUCACGGGACCGAAUUCCGGCCAAAUGAGAAGCAAGUGGAGUGUCACAUGGUAGUUCCGAGGACCCUUCUGUAAGACACAGCUUGUGUUCAUCUCUCUGCUCCUUCUUUGUCCCUCCCCCUUUUUGGCUAUUUGGUAGGUAGGUGCCACCUUGAACCAUGAGGACGGGGUCCACCCACUAGGAACAGCAGAGCAGUGAGCUGGAAGGAGACCGGGACAUCGUACCAGCCCCAGACUCCUACCUCUGGGCUGUCAAGUGAGAGGAAAAUAAACUUCUACCUUGUUAAA